GUGCUUGCUGCGGCAGCACAUAUACUAAAAUUGGCGGGAUACAGAGAAGUUUAGCGUGGCCCCUGCGCAAAGAUGACACCCUAAUUCGUGAACCCUUCCAUAUUAAU